rfam:TPA: Bos taurus chromosome 8, whole genome shotgun sequence.
CCCUUGCUAGUCUGAUGGUCAGAGUUCCUGGUUUUCAUCCAGACUGCCCAGGUUCAAUUCUUGGGCAGGGAA